rnacentral:ncRNA from 1 species
UAAUUAAAAGGGCAAACUUACCGAAAGGUAAGGACGCAAAGCCAAGGGCCUAAGUUACAAAGUAACAUGUAGUAUGGUAGCCAGCUGCACAA